UGCUAGUUUGCUACAAUUAUAAAACAAUAAUAAAAAAUUAGGAGCUACCAAGGAUGUAUUCCAAGCUUGUGAGAGUAGAAAGGACAGGCAAGCAAGAUGCGGAAAAGGAACCAGGACUUCACUCAAACUGGAAUGGCCACUUUCUAUUAUAGGGAAGAACCUGGAGCAAAAAUGUCACACUGCUAGCAUUUUGCUGGGGAUUGAACCAAGAGCCUUGUGCUUGGGAGAACUGUCCUGAAGUAUCAGAAUCUCUCAGGGACUGAGACCACCUGAAGUGCAAGGAGCUGAGUAUGGGGGACCCAUGACCAGACAGUACUGGAGGCUACACAUGUCCUGGAUGCCACACUAGCCCAGUCAGGACAGAAGAUGGCAGGAUGCUUUUCCCCCUGAUCCAGGGCAGGUCAUGCAAAAGCUGGCAGAAGAAGGUGACUCUGAGAGUUAGUUGCCUCCUCAGGCACCCACUGCACAAGAUCCAGAGAACAGAUGAAAAAUAGAAACCAUCAAAACAUAGAAGUGUGUAUUAUUAGCAGUUGGAGCAGGCAGUAGAAAGAGUUCUUCGAAUCUGCUGAUG